rnacentral:rRNA from 1 species
GUGGGUAACCUGCCCUUGAAGUAGGGGAUAACACUUGGAAACAGGUGCUAAUACCGUAUAACAACCAAAACCACCUGGUUUUGGUUUAAAAGACGGCUUCGGCUGUCACUUUAGGAUGGACCCGCGGCGCAUUAGCUUGUUGGUAAGGUAACGGCUUACCAAGGCGAUGAUACGUAGCCGACCUGAGAGGGUAAUCGGCCACAUUGGGACUGAGACACGGCCCAAACUCCUACGGGAGGCAGCAGUAGGGAAUCUUCCACAAUGGACGAAAGUCUGAUGGAGCAACGCCGCGUGAGUGAUGAAGGGUUUCGGCUCGUAAAACUCUGUUGUUGGAGAAGAACAGGUGUCAGAGUAACUGUUGACAUCUUGACGGUAUCCAACCAGAAAGCCACGGCUAACUACGUGCCAGCAGCCGCGGUAAUACGUAGGUGGCAAGCGUUGUCCGGAUUUAUUGGGCGUAAAGCGAGCGCAGGCGGUUUUUUAGGUCUGAUGUGAAAGCCUUCGGCUUAACCGGAGAAGUGCAUCGGAAACCGGGAGACUUGAGUGCAGAAGAGGACAGUGGAACUCCAUGUGUAGCGGUGAAAUGCGUAGAUAUAUGGAAGAACACCAGUGGCGAAGGCGGCUGUCUGGUCUGUAACU